rnacentral:rRNA from 1 species
GAUUAACGCUGGCGGCGUGCAUAACACAUGCAAGUCGAACGAUGAAACUUAAAUGAUUUCUUCGGAAUGAACUUAAGUGGAUUAGUGGCGGACGGGUGAGUAACGCGUGAGUAACCUGCCUUACACAAGGGGAUAGCCGUUGGAAACGACGAAUAAUACCCUAUGAAACUAUCACUUCGCAUGAAGCGAUAGUCAAAGUGUUAGCGGUGUAAGAUGGACUUGCGUCUGAUUAGCUAGUUGGUGAGAAAAAAGCCCACCAAGGCAACGAUCAGUAGCCGGCUUGAGAGAGUGUACGGCCACAUUGGGACUGAGACACGGCCCAGACUCCUACGGGAGGCAGCAGUGGGGAAUUGUGCACAAUGGGGGAAACCCUGAUGCAGCGACGCCGCGUGAUUUAGAAGGCCUUCGGGUUGUAAAAAUCUUUUGUAUAGGAAGAAAAUGACAGUACUAUACGAAUAAGGUCCGGCUAAUUACGUG